AUGGCGGCGCCAUUGCCUGGGCCUACAGUUCCCAGCAUGCAAUGCGCCAAGGGCGGUUGGUUUGUUUUGUCUGUCUCCUCCAUCGCUGGCAGCAGGAAGGAAGGAAGGAAGGAAUGCAGUCAGCUCAGGUUCGCUCUGGACCAGCUUCUGACCGAGAGAAAAGGAACAGAAUCCUAGAUAAACAUGCUCCAUCCAAAGGUGAAAACAGAAAAGACAGAUCUAGAGACCGCCAAUGCUCGAACCCGCCUUGAUGCUGUUCUGCAGUGCCUGCUGGAGAAGACCGAUGCUGACCGGUGUGUAUCGACAGAUACUUCA